UGACCAGUAGAAGUAAGUAAAUUCACAAUAAUUUUGACUAAUAGUAAAUAAAGCUCCAGCAUGUUAUAAAAGCAGUAGCUGUACACAAACACUCAUCACUGGUAACCUACAGUAAAAGGAUUGUUCAGUAUUAGUUCUAUACAGCAAGUCAAGACAAGAUGGAUUCCUGUUCUUAUUUUAAGCUGAUAGGAUGCUUCAUUCUUAUUAGCAUUGCUAUUGUUCCAACACAAGGUUGUUUUCCUCUUGACUGUCAGGAAGCAUACAAAAAUGGUACAGUAUGCAGUGGAGUAUAUACUGUGAAACCUGAUGAUCUACCAGCUUUUGACGUCUAUUGUGAUAUGAGUAAUGGCGGUGGAUGGACUGU